CCAAUGUGGAUACCCCAGGAGGUCACUCUCCCCAGGACCUGUCCAGGUGGUGCAGGGGAGCAUAAGGUUUUCCCAGUAAUGUGUAGUCCCAUUCCACAAUGUUGAAGAUAAAGCCAGGCCUCAAAUCUGCACCUACAUAUUCCUACAGCUUCUCAGAGUCCUGUGGACAAUGCCUGAGGAGACAAACCAUGCAGGAAGCCUAU
rnacentral:snoRNA from 1 species